rnacentral:rRNA from 1 species
UUCGCAAUGCCCGAAAGGGUGACGAAGCGACGCCGCGCGGGUGAGGAAGGCCUUCGGGUUGUAAAGCCCUGUUAGGAGUUAAGAAAUGUAGACUCGCUAAUAUCGGGUCUAUUUGACAAAGGCUCCAAAGGAAGCCACGGCUAACUCUGUGCCAGCAGCCGCGGUAAUACAGAGGUGGCAAGCGUUGUUCGGAAUUAUUGGGCGUAAAGAGCACGUAGGUGGAUUUGUAAGUCAGACGUGAAAGCCUUCUGUUCAACGGAAGAAUUGCAUCUGAAACUACAAACCUUGAGUGUAGGAGGGGAGAAUGGAACUUCUGGUGGAGCGGUGAAAUGCGUAGAUAUCAGAAGGAACGCCGGCGGCGAAAGCGAUUCUUUGGCCUAUUACUGACACUCAGUGUACGAAAGCUAGGGGAGCAAACGGGAUUAGAUACCCCGGUAGUCCUAGCCGUAAACGAUGGGCACUAAGUAGAGGGGUUUU